AGAGUUUGAUCCUGGCUCAGGAUGAACGUUAGCGGAAGGCUUAACACAUGCAAGUCGAACGAGUUGAUAAUUAUCUUCGGAUGAUUGUCAACUAGUGGCAAACGGGUGAGUAACACGUGCCUAACCUGCCCUAGAGAGGUGGAUAACUAGGGAAACCUAGCUAAUCCAGCAUACGCUCAUAUAUCUGGGAUGGUAUAUGAGGAAAGGAGGUAACUUCGCUCUAGGAGGGGGGCGCGGCGCAACAGCUUGUUGGUAGGGUAAUGGCCUACCAAGGCUAUGACGCGUAGCCGGCCUGAGAGGGUGAUCGGCCACAAUGGGACUGAGACACGGCCCAUACUCCUACGGGAGGCAGCAGUGAGGAAUCUUGGACAAUGGGCGCAAGCCUGAUCCAGCCAUUCCGCGUGAAGGAAGAAGCCUUUUGGGGUGUAAACUUCUUUUCUGGGGGAAGACGACUGACGGUACCUCAGGAAUAAGGGGCGGCUAACUACGUGCCAGCAGCCGCGGUAAUACGUAGACCUCGAACGUUAUCCGGAGUUACUGGGCGUAAAGGGUCCGUAGCUGGGUGAGUAAGUCUAUCUUUAAAGGCUGGAGCUUAACUCCAGUAAGGGGGUAGAUACUGCUUAUCUAGAGAUAUUAGGGGGUUAGUGGAAUUCCCGGUGGAGCGGUGGAAU
rnacentral:rRNA from 1 species